AUGACGCUUACUUCCGUCCACCAUGCCUCGCUACGGCGGCGCUUGGAUCCCACCAUCGUGCCACUGGAUCCUCCGCCUUCAAGCCCCUGCAUCUCCAGUGAGCGCUGUGCGCGUACGGUCCUGAUCCAGUGCAUGCGGCUUCGAUCCAGCAUGUCCCAGCCGCCGCCGUACAAUGCUGCUCCGGCCGCUGCUUUGGCCGUCCAAGUGCCCCACCGAAGUCCGUCCGAGUUCCUCUGUCCGUGCUCCUUUGUGUCGAAGCUUCAGCAAACGUUGCGUCGAGCCACUGGCACAUGUUCGCAUCCUCCAUCAUCUCACUUUUCUACUAUUCCUCAUGUUCUAGCCAUUGGCACAUAUGCAAAGAAAUUUGUGUUUUGGUCCGUUGGUUUCAGUUUAACAGGAGCUUCAGUAAUGGAAAACUUGAGUUUUCUUCCAAGUUUAUCUCGAAAAUGCAUGACUGCCGACGGUCCAUUUAAUCAGAGAUGA
rnacentral:rRNA from 1 species